GCGGGGCUGCCAGGUUGGUGCAGGCACAUGAACCCCCGGGGCCAAUAAGCAUCCUCCGGGGGCUGGCGCUGCUCAGGUCUUGGCCUGGGUACCUGGUUCCCACCUGCACAAGCAGGUCUCAGGAGGGUUUUAACGCCCACGGCCAUGGUGGCUCCGCA
rnacentral:other from 1 species